UGAUUUAUGAUUUUGUGUUCAAUUUAUGAUUUUGAAAUCAUGAUUCAGAAUCAGGGGUUUAAAUCACCUUGAAUCAA
rnacentral:tRNA from 1 species